rnacentral:rRNA from 1 species
GAUGAACGCUAGCGGCAGGCCUAAUACAUGCAAGACGAACGGUAAGUUGAGUAGCAAUACUUAGCCAAGAGUGUCGUACGGGUGCGUAACACGUAUGCAACCUACCCUAUACAGGAGGAUAGCCUAGGGAAACCUGGAUUAACCCCUUCAUAGUAUUAUUGGAUGGCAUCAUUUGAUAAUUAAAACUGAGGUGGUAUAGGAUGGGCAUGCGUCUGAUUAGUUAGUUGGCGGGUAAUGGCCCACCAAGACGAUGAUCAGUAGGGGUUCUGAGAGGAAGAUCCCCCCACACUGGCACUGAGAUACGGGCCAAGACUUCCUACGGGAGCAGCAGUAGGGAAUAUGGUCAAUGGAUGCAAGUCUGAACCAGCCAUGCCGCGUGCAGGGAACGAAGGCCUUCUGGGUUGUAAACUGC